rnacentral:lncRNA from 1 species
UGGCCGUCCCUUCCCCCCCGCCCCAGCCGGCCAUCCCCCCAGAUCAGGAGGCUGCGAUUCCUGGUGGUGCCCGGGCCUCCACCCCCACGGCCACCAGCACCCAGGUCCACGGUGCUGCUGGCCAAGCGACAGCAGGCACAGAGUGCAGCGGCUCUGGGGCCGAUGCCAAGGAUGGGAGCACACUCACCCCUCUGGAUCCGCAGCCUUUGGAAUCGUCUGCCUCACUGGACAGCAGCUCUGUCCUGCCCCACCCAUCUACCUCCUUCGAACCUAUCAAACCGGAUCCCACGGAGAUACUGGAACUCCCCAAAGAGCUGUCGGAGAUGUUUGAUCCAACCAGAGGUAGGCCAGCCAGCUCACCCGCUCCCACCCAUCCUCCCAGUUAAAUGGCCCUGGCCAAGUCUGAGCCCGAGGGCCGGGUCCCACCCCCUCAUCAAUUCCACUGGGAUUGGGCCUCUUCCUUCUAGGAGGAAGACUUGGAUCUGGCCCCUGCUCACUCCGCUCUUGCCUUACAUUGGUUCAGGUGGUGACUGGCAGAGGAAAUUGGGCAGUGCCAGCCCCUUUCCAUGUGAGAGUCAACCUAGCCCUGCGCAGCUGGGCAGCGAGUGUGGCGGUGCCUGGUGUAGCUCCCAUUUUUUAAAAACCUUGAAUCGUGUGUCUGACCUUUACCUCCAUCCCGCCCCACCCCCCCACCCCCCAGUGGUUCUAAUUAAUUCACUCACACACAUCUACCUCUCCUCUUCACUCCUCCGUAUCUGCUCCGGGUAG